rnacentral:rRNA from 1 species
AUUGAACGCUGGCGGCAGGCCUAACACAUGCAAGUCGAGCGGAUGAAGGGAGCUUGCUCCUGGAUUCAGCGGCGGACGGGUGAGUAAUGCCUAGGAAUCUGCCUGGUAGUGGGGGAUAACGUCCGGAAACGGGCGCUAAUACCGCAUACGUCCUGAGGGAGAAAGUGGGGGAUCUUCGGACCUCACGCUAUCAGAUGAGCCUAGGUCGGAUUAGCUAGUUGGUGGGGUAAAGGCCUACCAAGGCGACGAUCCGUAACUGGUCUGAGAGGAUGAUCCGUCACACUGGAACUGAGACACGGUCCAGACUCCUACGGGAGGCCGCAGUGGGGAAUAUUGGACGAUGGGCGAAAGCCUGAUCCAGCCAUGCCGCGUGUGUGAAGAAGGUCUUCGGAUUGUAAAGCACUUUAAGUUGGGGGGAAGGGCAGUAAGUUAAUACCUUGCUGUUUUGACGUUACCAACAGAAUAAGCACCGGCUAACUUCGUG